UCCUCAGCUAAUCAUUUAAAAAAAACACCAUAUACUUCAAAGAAUAAAAAGCUAAAAAUAUUAUUUUAAUAGAUUUUUUUAAAGACCCGAAGAAAACUUAUUUCAAAAUGCAACAACCCAGAUUUAAAUUUCUAUGGAUAGGUCAGAUAGCAGGCUGAAUAGCGGCUAGGAAAAUGAAUAAAUAAUUGAGAAUAUAGGAAAGAGACCAAAAACAGCCAUGGAAACGUGCAAAGAGAGGUUAAGAAAUAUGGAGUUUACAUAAGAUCUAACUAAAUAUGUUUAAUCUGAGACAUCAAAUCACAGAUUCAAAAAGCCAAAUGAAUUCCAAUUAUGGAACAUCAAGAUAAAUAGGACAUCCAAAUCUAGACACAUAAUAGCAUAAAAACAAGGAAUAAAUCCCGUUUUUUUACCCCCAAGAGUAAAAUCUUAAAAAUAACCAAAGAUUGUGCAGGAAAGGGACAUGGUGGGGAAUAGGUUAUGUUCAAAGGAGAAAAAGUAGACAGCUAAUUUUUAAAUAGUAAUUCUGAAAGACAAAGGGUAGUGGAAUGACAUUUUCUGUAUGAUCAAAAAAAAAAAAACAACUCACCUAGGACUCUCUAGAUGCAGUUAAAAUGUACAUCAAGAGUGAGAGGAAAUAAAGACAUUUUAAAACAGAGAUUGAUUACCAGGCCUGUAUCACUCAUGAAAAUUUUAAAACAUGUACAUAAACAAACAGAAGAAAAAUAGUCCCAGAUAGAAGUUCUGAGAUGCAAUAGGGAAAAAGAAAAUUAAACAUGCAGAUCACUUUAAAUGAACAUUGACAAUACAUUAUAAAAAUUACAAAAAUGUCAGGACACCUGGGUGGCCCAGUGGUUGAGCAUCUUCCUUCAGCUCAGGGUAUGAUCCCAGGAAUUGUGGGAUCAAGUCCCACAUCCAGCUUUUGGCAGGGAGCCUGCUUCUUCCUCUGCUUAUGUCUCUGCCUCCCUCUCUGUGUCCCUCCUGAAUAAAUAAAAUCUUAGGGAAAAAAAGGUUGCAAAGAUAUCAUGUAUUUUUUAGAGAUACAAGACAGUUAAAACAAAGCAACGAUACACAUAAGUUUGGAGACAUGUAAGUUGAGUUAAAAUAUUCAAAAUUCCUUGCAUUAUCAUUAUCCAUGAAUAGAGAGGAAAAAAAUCCUCACCAAGAUAUUAGCAGAUCAUGAGUAACACUGUAUUAAACAAAUGAAAUUACAACUAAAUUCAGUUUACCUGAGGAAUGCAAGUUUGGUUUAACAUGAGCAAAUAUAAUUCACCACAUUGACACAUUUUUUAAAAAUUAUCUCAAUAUAUGCAAAAUAAACAUUAUUAUUAUUCAACAUUCACUCAUGAUAAAACAGAAAAAACUAGUAUUAUAAGAAAACUUUUUCAAUAUAAUUGUAAUGUAAAGAUCCUAGGUGGCCCCAUAAUAAAUGCCCUUUGGUGUUCUCACCUUUUCUAAGUGUAGGCAAGAUCUGUGAUUUGAUUCUAGCCAUUACAACAUGGCGAAUGUAAAGGAAUUUUACAGAUAUAAUUCAGUUAAAUUUGAGUUAAUCUACUUAUUCUAAGUAAGCCUGAUUUAAUCAGGUGAAAUCCUGAUCCUUAAAAGAGGACUGAGGCUUCUGUGCAGUGAAAUCCUCCUUUUUAGCUUCAUGAAGCAAGCAGUCAUAGUGAGGAAGCCUACAUGGCCAAGAACAAGGAACAGCCUUGCUCUAGACUGAAUAUUUCUGUACCCGCACUCCCAAACUCAUUGCUGUGCCUAAGAUUGCGAAUCCGAGAAAACCACCAAGGAGCCGACACCGAUGCAAGUACAUGAGGGUUUAUUAACAAGCUCGAGCUUGGGUCCAAGUAUACCCGACACAGUGGAGCAGGGACUUGGACCCCGGGAUGAGUUACAGCUGGGUAUUAUUAGCAAGCUCGAGCUUGGGUCCAUGUAUACCCAACACAGCAGACCAGGGACUUGGACCCUGAGGUGAGUUACAGCUGGGUUUUUAUGGGCUGGUCUAGGGGUAAGGUGGGGUUUUUCAGUAAGGAUGGGGGUGUGAGAAUCUCAAGUAAAGAGGUCUCACAAGCUCUUGCUUCCUUAUUCCGAUAAGGAAUAAGCCGGGUUAGGGUAGAGUUCAGUUCAGUUCCUGGUCACAGUGGCCUGAGAUGGCUGCUGAAGCUACAAUGGCUGUACUUGUGCCAAUGUUAAACUUGAAUGGCCCGAAUUUUCUUGGCCUCCACACUCAUGACUUAAGUCUUAGUGUUCAAUGUGAUACUAUUUGGAGGUGGUGGCCUUGGUAAGUGAUUAAGUCAUGAAGGUGGAGCUCUCAUGAUUGAGAUUAGUGCCCUUAUAAAGGAGGCUGGAGGGAGCUCCCUUGGCCCUGUGCCUUAUGAAGACACAGGAGGAAGAUAGGCACUCAUGAACCAGGCCCUAACUGGACACUGAAUCUGCCAGUGCCUUGACUUUGGACUUCCCAGACUCCAGAACUAUGAGAAACAGUAAGACGGUUUAUCAAGAUAGCUGAUGCUAAGCUCAAUAUGCAA
rnacentral:lncRNA from 1 species